CCAAACAUUUUUUAAAUUCAUAAAGUGAAACCCUAAUUCCUUUUUCUGUAAAGUGUAAACUCACCGCACCCUCCACUCCGUCCAGAACUAUCACCACCCCACUCUACCCUUCUCUUGUUUCUGCCCUCGCCGUUGCCGUCCAGCCAGCACUCGCUGCCGGUCUCAUCUCAUCUCCCGGCGUCGUUCCUAGGCUCGCUCUCCCCGUCUCCUCUUCUCUCUUCUCUCUUUUCUCUUCUCUCUUCGAGUCGUCGUCAGUACCGUGGUGCUUCGUCUUCCCCUUCAUCCUCCACUUCCAGAGAUCCAAUGUAACCUCAGUCUCAGGUAACCAACUCAUGGGAAAUCAACUCCAAAUUGGAAGGCUUUUGGAGUUCCUAUUGUGUCUAAGCAUUGCAAUGUUACAAAAGGAUCUGAUCUCCGUGAUCUCUAUCUAAAGCUGCUAAAUUCAUUUCAAAUUUCAACUGAAGGGUCCUUAGAAAAUUUAAAUUUGAAUAACAAACUGGAAAGAAUGGCAGAAACGGAGGGGACGGAAUCACCUCAUUUAAGUUCAAGUAUGAAUGGGAAAGAUUCUUCUUUAGAUGGAGGACUGGAGUUUUACAUAACAGAUGAAAAAGGGAUUGUUAAGGAUUCCAAGAUAUCAAUGAAUGAGCCACUGGAAAUAAAGAUACUUAGCUAAAAUAAUAUACAUGACAGUAGUUCAUGAAGUUCUAUCUUUGUUGGGGGGAAGCAAAUCAAAGCAAUUACUAGCAACCAUAGUUUCUUUUUCUUUUCUAUUUUUAAUGUGUAUUUUGCUGAGGAAUUAGGGAGAAUGAAGUGGAAAAAAAGAAGUUAUCAGAAGUAUGGACCAUGUUUCCAAUUUGGGGUUAAGGUGUGCCAGAACUCCUCUUUGAUUGUUGUACUAAUAGUAGUUAAUGCAGCUUUAAUCUAGCACAGGACCACUUUUCAAAUUCUGCUCAA